UCCUUGUCGGGUAAGUUCCGACCUGCACGAAUGGCGUAACGAUGGCCACACUGUCUCCACCAGAGACUCAGUGAAAUUGAAAUUGCGGUUAAGAUGCCGUAUACCCGCGGCUAGACGGAAAGACCCCGUGAACCUUUACUGCAGCUUGACAUUGAACUUUGAUCUUACUUGUGUAGGAUAGGUGGGAGGCUUUGAAACCGAGACGCUAGUUUCGGUGGAGCCAAUCUUGAAAUACCACCCUGGUAAUAUUGAGGUUCUAACUCUGUCCCGUUAUCCGGGACGAGGACCAUGUCUGGUGGGUAGUUUGACUGGGGCGGUCUCCUCCUAAAGAGUAACG
rnacentral:rRNA from 1 species